rnacentral:rRNA from 1 species
ACGAACGCUGGCGGCGUGCCUAACACCUGCCAGUCGAACGGAAAGGCCCCUUCGGGGGUACUCGAGUGGCGAACGGGUGAGUAACACGUGAGUAACCUGCCCUUGACUUCGGGAUAACUUCAGGAAACUGGGGCUAAUACCGGAUAGGAAUCCUUGCUGCACGGCGGGGGUUGGAAAGCUUCGGCGGUUUUGGAUGGACUCGCGGCUUUUCAGCUUGUUGGUGGGGUAGUGGCUUACCAAGGCUUUGGCGGGUAGCCGGCCAGGGGGGGCGACCGGCCGCAUUGGGACUGAGAUACGGCCCAGACUCCUACGGGAGGCAGAAGUGGGGAAUAUUGCACAAUGGGCGGGAGCCUGAUGCAGCAACGCCGCGUGCGGGAUGACGGCCUUCGGGUUGGAGACCGCUUUCAGCAGGGGCGAAGCUUGUGGUGACGGUACCUGCAGAAGAAGCACCGGCUAACUACGUG